rnacentral:rRNA from 1 species
GAUGAACGCUAGCGGCAGGCUUAAUACAUGCAAGUCGAGGGGCAGCGCAGUGUAGCAAUACAUGGGCGGCGACCGGCAAACGGGUGCGGAACACGUACGCAACCUACCCAUAACUGAUGAAUAGCCCUCCGAAAGGAGGAUUAAUACAUCGUAACUUAAUGAAGUGGCAUCGCUUUAUUAAUAUAGCUCCGGCGGUUUUGGAUGGGCGUGCGCCUGAUUAGGUAGUUGGCGGGGUAACGGCCCACCAAGCCUGCGAUCAGUAACUGGUGUGAGAGCACGACGAGUCACACGGGCAUGGAGACACGGGCCCGACUCCUACGGGAGGCAGCAGUAAGGAAUAUUGGUCAAUGGGCGCAAGUCUGAACCAGCCAUGCCGCGUGAAGGAUGAAGGUCCUCUGGAUUGUAAACUUCUUUUGAAUGGGACGAAACCUCUUUUUCUUGAGAGACUGACGGUACCAUUAGAAUAAGCACCGGCUAACUCCGUGCCAGCAGCCGCCGUAAAAC